GAUGGACGCUGGCGGCGUGCUUAACACAUGCAAGUCGAACGGUGAACGAGGGAGCUUGCUCCCUCCGGAUCAGUGGCGAACGGGUGAGCAACACGUGAGCAAUCUGCCCUGGACUCUGGGAUAAGCGUUGGAAACGACGUCUAAUACCGGAUACGAGACGCGAAGGCAUCUUCAGCGUCUGGAAAGAACUUCGGUCCAGGAUGAGCUCGCGGCCUAUCAGGUCGUUGGUGAGGUAACGGCUCACCAAGCCUACGACGGGUAGCCGGCCUGAGAGGGUGACCGGCCACACUGGGACUGAGACACGGCCCAGACUCCUACGGGAGGCAGCAGUGGGGAAUAUUGCACAAUGGGCGCAAGCCUGAUGCAGCAACGCCGCGUGAGGGACGACGGCCUUCGGGUUGUAAACCUCUUUUAGCAGGGAAGAAGCGAAAGUGACGGUACCUGCAGAGAAAGCACCGGCUAACUACGUGCCAGCCGCCGCCGUAAAAC
rnacentral:rRNA from 1 species